rnacentral:rRNA from 1 species
AGCCUAACAGCUAGCUCAACCAAACAAAGACAACAAUCAAUACCAAUAACCCCUAACAUAAUAUAAAUGUGCAAACAAACCAUUUUUCCCCCUAAGUACGGGCGACAGAAAAGGAACAUGAAGCAACAAAAAAAGUACCGUAAGGGACUGCUGAAAGAGAAAUGAAAUAACUCAGUAAAGCUGACAAAAGUAGAGAUAUAAACUCGUACCUUUUGCAUCAUGAUUUAGCCAGUGUAAUCUAAGCAAAGCGAGCUUUAGUUUAUUACCCGAAACUAAGUGAGCUACUCCAAGACAGCCUAUCUAAUAGGGCCAACCCGUCUCUGUGGCAAAAGAGUGGGAAGAGCUUUGAGUAGAGGCGACAAACCUAUCGAACUUAGUUAUAGCUGGUUGCCUAAGAAUUGAAUAGUAGUUCAGCCCCUUGGCUUCUACAUUUACUUUAGUUUUUACUACUUCAAAUAAAUAGAAACCUUGGGAGUUAUUCAAAGGGGGUACAGCCCCUUUGAAAUAAGAUACAACUUUUUCAGAAGGAUAAAGAUCACAAUACUUAGAGGCAGAAUACCCAAGUGGGCCUAAAAGCAGCCAUCUUGACAGAAAGCGUCAAAGCUCAAGUAUAAAACUACCCCUAAAUACUGGUCACACAAUCUUAUUCCCCUAACUUUAAUAGGCCAUUCUAUACAACAUAUAGAAGCGACCAUGCUAAUAUGAGUAAUAAGAGAGUUUAACCUCUCUCCUAGCAUAAGUGUAAAUCGAAACGGACAAGCCACCGAAUUUUAACGGCCCCAAAUAAAGAGGGUAUUGGAUAAUAAGUGAAUAACCGGAAAACACCCCAGUAUUAACCGUUACCCCCACACAGGCAUGCCCUUAAGGAAAGACUAAAAGAAAGAGAAGGAACUCGGCAAACACAUAACUAAACCUCGCCUGUUUACCAAAAACAUCGCCUCUUGUAAACUAAAAAUAAGAGGUCCUGCCUGCCCUGUGACAUUAGUUCAACGGCCGCGGUAUUUUGACCGUGCAAAGGUAGCGUAAUAACUUGCCUAUUAAAUGUAGACCUGUAUGAAUGGCAAAACGAGGGCUUAGCUGUCUCCUCUCUCAAGUCGAUGAAAUUAAUCUCCCCGUGCAGAAGCGGAGAUAUUAUCAUAAGACGAGAAGACCCUAUGGAGCUUUAGAUGAUAGACAGCCCAUGUUAAAGACCUCUAAAAUAAAGAACAAAACAUAAUGGCCCCUACUUCUACAUCUUUGGUUGGGGCGACCACGGAGAAACAACCAACCUCCACGUGGAAUAAUAGCACAGCUAUUUCAUCCAAGAACCACGGUUCUAUGAAACAGAACUUCUGACCUUUAAGAUCCGGCAACGCCGAUCAACGAACCAAGUUACCCUAGGGAUAACAGCGCAAUCCCCUUUUAGAGCCCAUAUCGACAAGGGGGUUUACGACCUCGAUGUUGGAUCAGGACAUCCUAAUGGUGCAACCGCUAUUAAUGGUUCGUUUGUUCAACGAUUAAAGUCCUACGUGAUCUGAGUUCAGACCGGAGUAAUCCAGGUCAGUUUCUAUCUAUGCAAGGUUCUUUUCUAGUACGAAAGGACCGAAAAGAAGAGGCCAAUUCUUAAAGAACGCCUUACCCCGACCUAAUGAAGUCAACUAAAUUAGGCAAGAGGCCGUGCCCUCAUUGCCGAAGAUAACGGCAU